rnacentral:rRNA from 1 species
UACGUAGGGUGCAAGCGUUAUCCGGAAUUAUUGGGCGUAAAGAGCUCGUAGGCGGUUUGUCGCGUCUGCUGUGAAAACUGGAGGCUCAACCUCCAGCCUGCAGUGGGUACGGGCAGACUAGAGUGCGGUAGGGGAGAUUGGAAUUCCUGGUGUAGCGGUGAAAUGCGCAGAUAUCAGGAGGAACACCGGUGGCGAAGGCGGGUCUCUGGGCCAUUACUGACGCUGAGGAGCGAAAGCGUGGGGAGCGAACAGG